AUCUUCUUGUUUUUAAAUUUUUAACUUUACAUUACUGUUUUUAAUAUUCUACCACACUCAUCCUUCUUCCAGGAGAGAGAGAUCAAAUAUAAUCAUUUGAGUAAAAUCAUAUGGAUUGCUGUUAGGGCGCGCCAUAGGAUUCACGUGAUCUUUCCAAAAACUUGGUUUCUUCCCGUUGUAUUGGGUGGGAAGCGAGCAGGUGAUGAGUGCUGAUGGGUGUCCUUUCUCAUUGCUCGGUCGUGAUAGUAGCUUCUUCAUGUGAUAAAAGAUGGAGUAAGAGAGAUGUAGCUCCAUUUCUCCUCGCUGGCACACGAGCCGUUCUCUUACUCCAAGACGUCGUAAAAGUCAUUCUCUUCCACUCUAAGGUGUUAUAAGAGGCAAAGAAUUAGGAGUUCCUCAGUGUCUCCUACUCGUAAACCUUCUAGUCCAAGUCUUGAGUUGGUGGAGUGCAACAUUCCUCGUGAAAAAAUGAGAAAAGAAGAGGAGGGGGAGAAGAAGAAGAGGUGUAUCGACUAUCAUGCAUCUUGGUUCUGUCUAUCAUCAAGUUUCUAUUGCCAUUCCUAAAUUUCAGCACUCUAAACUUAUCAUUUGAACUUUAGACAUUCAUGCAAGCUUUUUCACGAUUGCUUUAUUGAUUGCAUAUACGUUGUUAGAUUUGAUCUUGGGAUAGAAAAUGUUAGUCUAUUAGGCAUA